rnacentral:rRNA from 1 species
AUUGAACGCUGGCGGCAGGCCUAACACAUGCAAGUCGAGCGAGCGGCGGACGGGUGAGUAAUGUAUGGGGACUGCCCGAUAGAGGGGGAUAACUACUCGAAACGGUGGCUAAUACCGCAUAAUUUCGAAUCACCUCUAUCGGAGUUGCUAGUCGGUAAGGUAAUGGCUUCCCAAGGCGACGAUCCCGAGCUGGUGUGAGAGGAGGACCAGCCACACUGGUACUGAGACACGGCCCAGACUCCUACGGAGGCAGCAGUGGGGAAUAUUGGACAAUGGGCGAAAGCCUGAUGCAGCCAUGCCGCGUGUAUGAUGAAGGCCUUAGGGUUGUAAAGUACUUUCAGUCGGGAAGCGUUACCGACAGAAGAAGCACCGGCUAACUCCGUGCCAGCAGCCGCGGUAAUAC